UUUGACUCUAUUAUAUGCAUGUUGGUAAGGACUGAAUUGAAAUUCCCCCAAAUUCAUACUUUGAAUUCUUAACCCCCAUGUGUGACUGUAUUUGAAGACAGGUCCUGUGAGGAGGUGAUAAUGGUUGUAUGAGAUCAUAAAGAUGAAGACCUAACCCAAUAGAGUUGAUGCCUUAUAAGGAGAGGAAGAGACACCAGAGUUUUCUCUCCACCAUGUCAGGAUACAGUGAAAAGGUGGCUGUCGGUGAGCCAGGGAGAGAGCUCUCACCGGAGAGCUGGACCGGUCUCUGCUGGACCUUGAUGAGACAUCUAUUCCACAGAGCUGUGAAAAAAUAAAGCUCCUGUUGUUUAAGUCACCCCAUCCGAGGAGUGGAGACGGGACGCGAAGAAGUUAAGAGCUCCCCAAUCAACACUGUUGGGCACUGGCUGUCUGCUUCAGAAACACAUCGCUGGACUCGGAUUCUUUACCAGGAAGAUAGGAUUGUCCAUUCUUUUUACCAUCACACUGAAACGUGGAAAGCUCAAAGAAGAGAUUCAAGGAUUCAAAAAAGAGAUUACAGGACAACACCAGGAGACAAAAAGGAAGCUGGCUGUGCCCAGAAGAGCCAAGAGGCACAAAGCAAAAAAAAAUAUUAGGGAGAUGAAAAAGCUCACUAGAAGCAACAGAAAAUAGAACGAGUAUGACUAAACCCUCUCCUCUCAGCCUCUCAAUGAAGCUUCAAAAUGAGUAAAAGAACAAAGACAUACAAAUCAUUAUGGAGAAUGUAUGGACAGAUGACCCAGGGAUCCAACAUAUAAACAGCACAAUGAACCCGAAAAAAAGAGGCUGAAAGAUAUAAUAGGAGAAAACUUUCCUAAAAUAAAUUUGUUAAAAUUCAGAUUGAAAGGGCACAGUUGUCUGGGAGACAAAUAAUUGAAACGGAAUGAUCAACAAGGAGGCAUAUCCUGAAAUUCAAGAAUAAAGGAAAGAAUAACACAGGCAUGCACGUUGAAAAAAACAGUCACCCACAAAAAUUUUAAAACAAGAAAAAUAUUGGCUUGAUUUCAGAAUUCACCACAGCUACACUCACUGCUGGAAAAGAAUGAGUUGAUAUUUAUUAAAAAAAAAAACAACUCUGAUGGUUAGAGGGGAGCCAGGAGAAUAUAACCGAGAACUUUAUACCCAGCAAAGCUGUCCUUCUUCAAGUAUAAAAGCAAGAGGCCUGUUCUCAAGUACGUAAGACUUCAGGUUCAGGAAAUAGAACAACAAAGAUCUCUUGAAAAGUUCUGGUGGGUGAAUUCCAGUCAGAAGAGUUAUAUCAAAGUAAGUUAUUCAGGAAGAGAAAAGAGAAAUUAAACAAUGAGGAUGGGCAUUCACCACUUGGUAAACACGGCAUUAGGUUUAAAUCACUUUCAGAAUUACAAUUACAAAACAGAAUUUAAAUGCUAUUAGUAAUAAUAGUAGUAACAGUAAUAAUAAUGUCAGUCUAAAAAUAAGGAUGAGAAGUGAAAGAAGCAAAAUAUGUUUAUUGCCCCUUUAUUCAUAACAGGCAGUUAAUUGACACAUACUAAAAUAACAAAUGUAUGCCCACCUCUUCAUGUUAUAUGAACUCCUUUUCACUUCAAUUUCAGGGACACUUUCAGGAACUGUUUUCUCUUACAGUAAAGAAAGACAUCUGUAUCUUAACAAUUUCUUCACUUUUACUGCAAUUCAUUUUGCUUCUGUUAAAUUCAAGCACAAUUAAAGGCAAACUCUGAAGUAAAAAAGCAGGGACAGUUUGAUGGACAUUUCUCACCAGUCUUUCUAUCCUUAGAUAAGAGGCUGUGGAAUAUUGCGGUUAAUGGCAUAGACUCUGGAGACAGGUUUCAAAUCAUGAACCAACCUGCCAUCUGUACUUUUUACACAAACUGCUUCACUUUGCUGUGUUUCCGUUUCUUCCUUAGAAGAGUGAGGAUAAAGAUAAUACUUCAUGGGAUUCUUUAAAAGAUGAA